AUGUACAUUCCUACAACAUAACAUUAAUGCAGUGGAUCCCAUUAGAACUCCACAAUUAAGCGUGUUUAGGAUAGAGUAGUACUGGGAUGGGUGACCACUAGGGAAGUUAUGAUGUUUUACAUG
rnacentral:rRNA from 1 species